rnacentral:rRNA from 1 species
GAUGAACGCUGGCGGCGUGCCUAAUACAUGCAAGUCGAGCGAACGGACGAGAAGCUUGCUUCUCUGAUGUUAGCGGCGGACGGGUGAGUAACACGUGGAUAACCUACCUAUAAGACUGGGAUAACUUCGGGAAACCGGAGCUAAUACCGGAUAAUAUUUUGAACCGCAUGGUUCAAAAGUGAAAGACGGUCUUGCUGUCACUUAUAGAUGGAUCCGCGCUGCAUUAGCUAGUUGGUAAGGUAACGGCUUACCAAGGCAACGAUGCAUAGCCGACCUGAGAGGGUGGUCGGCCACACUGGAGCUGAGACACGGUCCAGACUCCUACGGGAGGCAGCAGUAGGGAAUCUUCCGCAAUGGGCGAAAGCCUGACGGAGCAACGCCGCGUGAGUGAUGAAGGUCUUCGGAUCGUAAAGCUCUGUUAUUAGGGAAGAACAUAUGUGUAAGUAACUGUGCACAUAUUGACGGUACCUAAUCAGAAAGCCACGGCUAACUACGUG